CGAGGUGUAGCGCAGUUUGGUAGCGCGCUUCGUUCGGGACGAAGAGGCCGUGGGUUCGAAUCCCGUCACCUCGACCA
rnacentral:tRNA from 1 species